AGUGAACGCUGGCGGUAGGCCUAACACAUGCAAGUCGAACGGCAGCACAGUAAGAGCUUGCUCUUACGGGUGGCGAGUGGCGGACGGGUGAGGAAUACAUCGGAAUCUACUUUUUCGUGGGGGAUAACGUAGGGAAACUUACGCUAAUACCGCAUACGACCUACGGGUGAAAGCAGGGGAUCUUCGGACCUUGCGCGAUUGAAUGAGCCGAUGUCGGAUUAGCUAGUUGGCGGGGUAAAGGCCCACCAAGGCGACGAUCCGUAGCUGGUCUGAGAGGAUGGUCAGCCACACUGGAACUGAGACACGGUCCAGACUCCUACGGGAGGCAGCAGUGGGGAAUAUUGGACAAUGGGCGCAAGCCUGAUCCAGCCAUACCGCGUGGGUGAAGAAGGCCUUCGGGUUGUAAAGCCCUUUUGUUGGGAAAGAAAAGCAGCAGGUUAAUACCCCGCUGUUCUGACGGUACCCAAAGAAUAAGCGCCGGCUAACUUCGUG
rnacentral:rRNA from 1 species